rnacentral:lncRNA from 1 species
CUUGAAGAAACUGCAAAACAGCAGAGAUGGUUUGGAAGAAACUGAGGGCAGCAGCUGAGAAAACCGUGACAUGAGGCUACCAGCCCAGCGGUGUGCAGGGUGAGGUGGGGGAGAGGCUCAGUCUCUGGAGAGGAGCUGGCUUACACCUGGGUUGGAAAUGGAUGCGGUGAAGAGGGUCAGACAAGUAAGCUGGUGGCCCCAGAGAACAGUUGGAGGAUCUGCUUUAUAGGCUAAAUUGCACUGGGGAACCAUAAAGGACGUUUAAUUAAUCAUGGUAGUGGGCAGUUGGAACUGAUACUCUCAGUUUGGUUACUAGGACAGCUAAAAGACGGCAGGUCUAACAUCUUAAUUACAGAAAAGAUGUGUGUUUUAUUUCUUUAAUUUCUGCUUAUAGCAAUGGGUAAGUGUUUCGGAUAACAUCUCCUCUCCGGCCGUGUUAAUGUAGAAAUACUGCACUGGUUGUGACAUGGGACUGCUUUGAAUAGAAAACAGGAAAUUAAUCUCUGAUUGAGAUCUGUUUCUUAUCCCUCUCGUCCUACUUUGAAGUUCUUACAUCCAAAGUAUUUUCCCUGCGAGCACAAAGCUGUUUUCACAGGAACAACCCCGCUCCCUCUCUCCCCUCCUCCCUCCUAGAGACGAGCCUUGGGUUGUUCUCAUGGCCUGCGCUAACCCACCUGGCACCACCUCCUCGGGGCCUGCAGGGCCGUCUGUCUGUCAGCACAGGGGCACCAGCAGCGUAACGCAGCCUGACCGCAGCCUGACCACGCCGUAUGAGCCCGGACCAGAUGCCACAGGGCUGCCAGGCGCCCCAGGAGCUGCCAGUUCUCCAUGAUGACCUGCAACGCACAGUGGGUGACUGUCACACCAGUGUAGUGAGAAGAAAACGCCCUCCUGGCCCCUUCACGUGGCCUUCCCCUGACAAGUCAGCAGGUCUGGGACCUGGGAGAAAGGUCUGCAGGAAAGGCAAACAUCUGGGACCAGGGGUAAGGCCACGUCCUUUUUCAGAGUGUGAAUCUGGUAUAGUGGUGGGCACAACAGUGGUGGGGGAGCAAUCUCUGUUACCUUUCUACAUUUUUCUUUCUCAUUUUAUACAGAGAACUGUAUCUUGUCUUGUCCUUCUUUUGUAAUCCCCAGUUUUAGUACCCUCCUCCCUUAUAUGAAGAGGCACAAGUAUAAAGCCAUAAGUCUAGUACACAUGUAUGUGUGUUAUGUAUGUGCAUACACACACACAAACACAGCUUACACAUAAAAAGUCAUGCUUACAGCACUAUUGUCAUCUUGUCAUAUAUUAGUUAGACAAGGUUAUUUUCAAGGUGUUUUGUUUUGUUUUUAAUAGUAAAACAGUAGUAUUUCUAGGGCUUUAUACCUGAAAUAGCAAAUUUGGGAAUUGAAGAGUACGCCUAUAGUGAUCCAAUACUGUUCUUUUUUUUUUUUUUUUCCACUCAUAGCAGGAAUUCCAGCUAGAAAUCACUCAUUGAAGUUGAUUCAGUGAGAACUGCAGUUCUCUAGUGAAUCACGUACAUCCUCACUAUGCUACAAAAUGUACAUUUUACAUGGAAAAUACUUUGAACAAUAAAUAUUUAGCAGACAGGCA